CGACUUAUUCUCGUACUAUUUUCCAUCCAUCCAUCAUCUACUGAUAAUCGGAUAGUUUAGUAGCUUAGUCGGAUCGCAGGAACAGCAGAAGACAGACGUUGUAACACAAGGAAGAGUUUGGAGCUGCAUUUGAAGCUCUUCAUUCUUCCUCGUGGCUGAAAGCAAUCGAGGAACAGAAGACGACGGUUCCGUGGACCUUUCUCGCCUGUGGGAACCUAAAUCCAGGCACAUUUACGUUUGCAGCUGACAUUUUAUUACUGGGGCGCAAUAAAAGCACCAAAGGAGUCCCACCCGCCGAUCAGCAGCGCGAGAACGACGGCGGGCCGUUUAUCGGCGUGCCAACAGGAAUAACGCUGCGUAAGCGGGACUGCUGAUUGGUUUCAUCCUCACUUUGCUGUUUAACUUGGCUGCGAGCAGGACAUCAUUCACACAGAGGCGAUGAUGUCAUGCAAGAAGCAGGCUGGAACACGUGCUAAAUCAUCUUGAAAAGUGGACAUUUUUAAUGAGUGCACAGUCACAGCAAGACGUGUAAACAUUUAAGUUGAAAAGCUCAAUUCGCGGUGGUUACAAUCAGAAAUUUGGACAGAAUGUAAUCGGUAAAAACAUGUUUUAAAUGAUUUAACAGUCUCACAUGCUAUUGAAACAUGCCAGCCUGUUAAAAACUGUUUAAAAUGCACGUACAGUGGUAUGAAAAA